UCCCUGGUAGUAUAUCGGUUAGUACACGCGCCUGUCAUUGAAGCGGUCCUGAAUAAUCUGACGCGCGAAAGCUGGGUUCGACUCCCAGCCAGGGAG